CCUCCCAACGCCCAGGACCCCUGCCUGAGCAGUGAGAGGCCCUGAUUGAUGCCCAGGACAACAAGCUUUCCCACCAGCCUCACCUCCACCAGCACCAACCUCACCAUUUUCUUUCAGUAUUUGAGGACUGAAAAGAAGGCUUCAUAAUGAUGGG
rnacentral:lncRNA from 1 species